rnacentral:rRNA from 1 species
CCCUUAGAUGCCCUGGGCCGCACGCGUGCUACACUGACGCCUACAGCGAGUACUUCCCAGCCCCGAGAGGUGGCUGGUAAUCAGCAAUAGGCGUCGUGAUGGGGAUAGAUCUUUGGAAUUAUGGAUCUUGAACGAGGAAUGCCUAGUAAGCGCAGGUCAUUAGCCUGCGCUGAUUAAGUCCCUGCCCUUUGUACACACCGCCCGUCGCUCCUACCGAUUUCGAGUGGUCCGGUGAAUCUUUCGGACUGCGCGCGGCCUCGUGCCGUGUCGCGGAAAGUCAGGUAAACCUUAUCACUUAGAGGAAGGAGAAGUCGUAACA